rnacentral:rRNA from 1 species
AAUGAACGCUGGCGGCAUGCCUAACACAUGCAAGUCGAACGAGACCUUCGGGUCUAGUGGCGCACGGGUGCGUAACGCGUGGGAAUCUGCCCUUGGGUUCGGAAUAACAGUGGGAAACUACUGCUAAUACCGAAUGAUGUCGUAAGACCAAAGAUUUAUCGCCCAGGGAUGAGCCCGCGUAGGAUUAGCUAGUUGGUGUGGUAAAAGCGCACCAAGGCGACGAUCCUUAGCNGGUCUGAGAGGAUGAUCAGCCACACUGGGACUGAGACACGGCCCAGACUCCUACGGGAGGCAGCAGUGGGGAAUAUUGGACAAUGGGCGAAAGCCUGAUCCAGCAAUGCCGCGUGAGUGAUGAAGGCCUUAGGGUUGUAAAGCUCUUUUACCCGGGAUGAUAAUGAC